CCCUAACGCUAACCCGGCCCUUUCCCUCAUCACACGCCGAAUUUCUUUCUCCUCUGUACUCGCUCGCCGCUCCCCCACCCUAAGCGCCGCUCCCCCACCCUAAGCGCCGCUCCGAUCCUCUCCCUUUCUCUUCCGUUAGCUGCUCUCGUCAUCGCUGCUUUUCUCCUUGCUCCUCCCUAAUCUACUCUCAGCGGCGCUCCUCUCCCUUUAUCCUCCCUCUGCUCUCGUUCGUUGCCGCUCCUCUCCUUAAUGUGCUCUCACUGUCGCUGGGAUCUUCACCCACGCUCACGCAUACCUGUGCCGCCGCCGGCCUCCACCACGAUUCCUCCACAGCACUGCCUACACGCUGUGAUUCUGCCUUUCUCCUCCCAAACUCAUUCUUGUCGUCGCUGCUCCUAAUCUGCGGAUCUCACCGUGAUUUGUUGUGGAUUGGAAGAAUUUAAUAGUCACCUUGCUCCUUUCUACCUAAUCGAAUCAAACAGUGAGUGUUAUGAGAUCUAGGGAUUCUUUAGUUUGCUCCACUUGGCUAAUGAUGUCAGCUAUGACCUUGCUCAUCACCUAAAGGUACUUCAUUAGCAAUAACAAUUGAUAUACUUAAUUUGUCUAUAAGUAUGACCUUCCUUUAUAACAUAGAUCCUCUAUUUCACACAGCUAUAUUGUUAGUACCGAUUAGUGCCCUUUUAAAAUUGCUCAUCACCUAAAGGUACUUCAUUAGCAAAAUCUCCUAUGUCUUAUAUCUUGUGCUUUGCACAAAACAUAACUAGCUUAAAGGCAUCCUUUGAAAGGUUCGACAAUAGAGCCAUGGACUGGUUGUAUCCCUUGUAGUUGUAAUCAUAAUUUAGUUGCUUUGCACAAGAAGCGUACAAAUGUUUGAUCUUGUGAGACUUUUAGAGAUUCUUAAUUUCUUGAACUUGGUCACCUCUACAUCUCAUGUUUAUUCUCAAUAUAAUAUAGAGGUGUUGGUUCUAUGAAAUUACCUUAUUAUUAUGGCUGAGUUGGAGACUUUUACUAAGUAAGUUUUCUACUCAUCCUAAUCGUCAAAACUUACAAAAUCAUGGGAGUUGAUUCCUCAACAGUUGAGGUAAAACUCCACACUCACUUGCAUGCAACAUGAGAGCAUGCAAGAUACCAACCAUCAUCACAGUAAAAUAACCAAGGUGCAAACACAAUUCCAACAUGCGGAUUUGUCUUCACACUUACACCUCACCAACAUCACGGCCAGCUCCAUCUUGCCUUCAUCAAACAGAUAGCAGCUUCAAGCAAAUCCAGCACGGUGACAAUUCCAGCAUAUCAAGAACACAUCAAACCCGGACAGCAAUUCCAAACUCAGCUUCACACGGACAGCAGCUUUACUCAGCACGGUGACAAUUCCAGCACAUCAGAAUUCCAGCACACACAGUAAUGGAUUGGAGCAAAAUACCUAAAAUAGAAUGAAAAGAAUUAAGAGAAGCAUAAAUGAGAUUGAUCGAUCCACCUUGUAGAGCAGGAGAUUUGAAACCAUAGUAUAGAUUGUUGAUUGCUAUGUUUGCACUUAUAUUUGACUUAACAACUCGAGAGUUGUAGAAAUGAGAUCCUCUCAUGCAAUACCUUAUCCUUUUGUCCUAAAAACUUUGAUUAUGUAUUUCACAAACUAUGUACAGCCAAGCAUGGUUGCAUGUGUUUAAGAGCCAAGAAAAAUGAAUAAUUUUAUUCCA